CUCAACAUCUCAGAUCCAAAUUUCUUCUUCCCACAAACUUCACAAUCACGUUCUCACUUCUCUCAAGAACCCUAAUUUCGUAUUUCCCAAUUUCUUCUUCCUUUUUCAAUCUAAGAACCCUAAUUUCGUAUUCUCCAAUUUCUCGAUGAAACCAUUUAGCUAGCAAUUCAACUCAACAAUCAGUUCAACAACACAGCACCACAACCUUCUAUUCGGAUUCAGAUCGAGCAACAUCGGAUCCGCAUCAUUCACACGAUUCAACGCGCAUUCCACGCUCAACCCACACAAUUUCUGCCCUCUGCAGCUUCCUUCGAUUGCUCCAACAACACUACUGCACGCGACGAAUUCGACCUACAAUCACACGGUUCUUUAACUUGAAGAUGAGCAAUGAUGAGAAUGGCAUGCAAAGAAGAGGUCGAAAGGUGAAGAAAUUGAGUGACUCAAAUCAGUUGGAAUUCUCUUGUAGCUUAAGGACUUUGAUUUUAUGCAACUCGAAUACAACUUGUUUCAACUUGGAAUAUGUAGCUAGUAGUCUAGUACUGUAUGUAAUCUUGAAUUUGAAUCUUGUUUCACUUAGAAAUUCUCUUUUGUAAUUCAAGAACUUGAUGUAAUUGAAAUCGAAAGGUUUGUAAUUGAAAUCUUGUAUCACUUUUUCUAAACUUAUUAGCAUUAAUUAUGUCAUUUCAGACUA